CAUUUUACUACUUUUACACACUGAUGUACACAUCUGUUGGCCAGGCUCAGUUUUGAGCAUUCUUCAUGCUUAACCUAUUUCCAUUCCCUAGAUCUUUAUUCUAGCGAUUGAGAUGAAAUGAUCAGCUGUGGUGUUUCUCUAAAAGCCUCAUUGGUGGAAGACUUCUGGUAAGUCUGGUGUAUCUCAAACUAUUCCUUGGCCUUUUUAAAAUAGAGUUUAGAAACUCAAUAUUUGAAUCAAUUCAUUGUUUCUUGUCCAGUUUAUCUCCUUUCUCAUUCAGUCCCCCACUUAUAGGGUGAUCCAGAACUUACCAUGUGAUCAGUAGCUGUAUUGGAGUAAUUUAAAUAGCCUAUAUGAUCACAGUAACCUAACAUUACUUAGUAGCUAUAACUGGAAGAUUUGGUGUUGCAGAUGUCUCAAGCCUUGAGUGUGCCUGAAUAAACACAUUCGUCAGUAGGAAUUUGUUUUUCAGCUGGAAUUGUUUUAUUUGUAGACAAAUACAGCUUCUGGAUAAAGGAAAGGAAUUGGAUUAUGUAUAUAUUUUGUAAUUCCUUUUUUAGUUUCUCUUAAGGUCAAUGUCAGAAUAUUGACUAGAAUUCUAAUAUGCUAAGCAUGUAACUUGCAAGACUAAAACCCCAACACCAAUUAGAAGCCUCAGAUAAAGCCACAGAAUCAUUCCAUUUAAAGCUGACAGAAUGAUUUUACCAGAAUUAUUAUCAACUUAGUUACC
rnacentral:lncRNA from 1 species